GUGUCAGCAGCCGCGGUAAUACGUAGGGGGCUAGCGUUAUCCGGAAUUACUGGGCGUAAAGGGUGCGUAGGUGGUUUUUUAAGUCAGAAGUGAAAGGCUACGGCUCAACCGUAGUAAGCUUUUGAAACUAGAGAACUUGAGUGCAGGAGAGGAGAGUAGAAUUCCUAGUGUAGCGGUGAAAUGCGUAGAUAUUAGGAGGAAUACCAGUAGCGAAGGCGGCUCUCUGGACUGUAACUGACACUGAGGCACGAAAGCGUGGGGAGCAAACAGGAUUAGAAACCCGCGUAGUCC
rnacentral:rRNA from 1 species